AGCAGUCGAGCCUGGCACCACAUUUGUUCAGUACGUUAUAUCAUCAUUGUCUACAGUUUCACGUGGUUAUUGUUUAACGAUAUUUGAGUGAUUUUCUCGUUAUUGUUAUAGUAAGUUAGUUCAAUUUGAUGUUUUUGUAAUGAAUACAAUAAUUACAGUAAAAAGUAAGUGAAAUGGAUUCAAAACACUACGGAAAAUUUCCAGUAUAGAAGAGUUAAUCAGGACGGAAUAAGGGCAACCCUACGCAGAGGAUAAUCAUAAAACCUUUAAGGACUUUUACUAUGGAAAUGGCGUUUUCUUGAUUAAUUGGAGAUAAAAUUCGUUUUGAAAAUUUACCUACCUGCGUCCUUACACCAUAAUAGAGUUCCAUGGCCUUCCACACAGCGCAGGAGAAUGGACCAUUUUUCCAUGUUCUAUGCUUUACGCUGAGCAGUAGUUUUAUUGUAUUAUUGUUAUAAAAAGUGAAUUUAUUGAGAAACCUUUGCGUUAAAUUGCUACCUUUAUUUCGUAUAAUUAAUUUUUUCAGGCGUUACUUGUUAAUUCCUUUGAGAGAAAUUACUUGCAUAUUUAUUUUGUUCCAAAUUUUUAUUUGCUUUUAAUAGAGUCUUUCUUAAUGUGAAAUAAUUAAGCAUGUUUGAUUAAUUUACUGAGUUACAUUCACGCUUCAAGUUAAUAAACAUGUGAAAUUGAUUUUAUGUUAUAUUUUCGAUUUCUUUGUUUAGAUCUCUUUCAGUUUGGACUUUAGGGGUAGCAAUUUUAUAUAAUUUAAAAAAAUACAAGAAACGUCCAGUAAGAAUUCAAUAAAGUCACUUUUGAAACUUAGUAUUUAAGAAAUAUUUUGGUAAUAUUAUUAUAAUAAGAUAGUAAUAGUUUUAGUAUUAGUUUUUAUUAGAUAUAUAUUUAUGAUUUGUAUUAUAUAGUGCAGGUACAUUUAUCGUUACUAUGAUAGGUUAAAAGUAUUUAUUUCACGAUCAGUAUCAUAUUUAAAUAUUUGCAAAUAUUUAAGUAUUGUAAAUAAACAAGGGGGAAAAAGGGAUUUAUUGUGGGGAGAGAUUGAGGGCGAAAAGAAUUUCAAUGAAAGGAGGUGCAAGGAAUUGGGAAUGAGAAUGGAAUAUUGAUAGGGUGAAGGCGUUAAUCGUAGUGUAAGGGUGCGAAGGUGACAAUACAAUGUGUAUGAAUGUAUGUGUGACAAAGAUAGAUUAAAGAUAAAUGUUUGACAGAAAUAGGUAUGUACGUGUAAGGGUGAUACUGGUAAUGAAAAGUUGGAAGGAAUGAAUAAAAAUGUCUGGGGUAGUGAAGAUGUAAAAGUGAAUGAAUAUUGUGAAGGUGAAAUGAACAAAAGGAGAGUGAAAUUAAUUAGUAUGUAGUAAUGUGUGAGAGACAGAGGUAGCAGGAGAGAAUGGGGAUGCAUUAGCGUAAACUGUCACAUCUCUGUUCACCCUGAUGCAUUCCUUUCUGUAAGGGUAUGAAAGAGAGUACAAAGGAGAAAAUGAUGGGUGACAGGAGGUGUAAAAGUGUGAAUGUAUGAACGUAUGAAAUGUGGGUGAACUGUCUCACCCUUGUUUACGUGAGGGUAUGAAAGAGAGUAUAAACGAGAGUAUGUGGGGUGUGAAUGCUUGGGAGAGGUAUAAUUACUAUUACGUAUGAACGAGAACGUGAGGGAUAUGGGUGCAUGACAGGGGGUGUACUUGUGUGGAAUAUAAUGUGAAUGUAUGAAAGGAUGCAUUAGGGUGAAUAUCACACCCCUGUGUGUAUGAGAAGGAUGUAAAGUGAGGAGAAUGAAUGCAUGAGACCAGUUGUAAAUGUGCGAAAGAGGUAAGAAUGAGGAUGCAUGAGGGUGAAUUGUCACACCCGUAUUCACCGUCAUGCAUUCUUAUUCUCUACCAUUACGUGUAAGGGUAUGAAAGAAUGUACGAACGAAUGUGAGAAGAAUGAAUGAGUAAGAAGGGGUGUGAUGUGAGUGGGGAUGCGAAUCAGAAUGAGGAGUGGAAUGUGAUGUAUGAGAAGGGGGUGUGAAUGUGUAUGUAUGAGAGGGGGUACGAGUGUGUGCGUAUGAGAGGGGUGUGAAUGUGUAUGUAUGAGAGGGAGUAUGUGGGUAUGUGUGUGCGUGUAUGAGAGGGGGUACGAAUGUGUGCGCGUGUGUGUGUAUGAGAGGGGUGUGAAUGUUGUGU
rnacentral:lncRNA from 1 species